rnacentral:tRNA from 1 species
GGGGUUGUGGCUCAGUGGUUGGGCGCUUACCUUGUAUGUGGGAGGCACUGGGUUCGAUCCUCAGCACCA